UACGUAGGGUGCAAGCGUUAAUCGGAAUUACUGGGCGUAAAGCGUGCGCAGGCGGUUAUGCAAGACAGAUGUGAAAUCCCCGGGCUUAACCUGGGAACCGCAUUUGUGACUGCAUAGCUGGAGUACGGCAGAGGGGGGAUGGAAUUCCGCGUGUAGCAGUGAAAUGCGUAGAUAUGCGGAGGAACACCGAUGGCGAAGGCAAUCCCCUGGGCCUGCACUGACGCUCAUGCACGAAAGCGUGGGGAGCAAACAGG
rnacentral:rRNA from 1 species